GUGUGGAUUUUCCCCGCAGGACACACAAGUGUAGUAGUGUUUAUGGAUGAAGAUGGCGAUGGUGGAAUAGCAGUGGACUCAGUGGCUACAUGAGAACAUUAAUUUAAGAAGAAGAGACCUCGUCCACACCAGGGAUUCUGUCCACACUCAAAGCCUUGCGCAGCAUGGACAGAAUAUGAACAGCCAGCCACUCCCCCUCUCUGUGCAAUUAGUCAGCCUCUCCACGUACCUACUGCAGCAACUAGCCAGAAAAAACAACACAGCUAGCUCUAGACGGUGUCUAGACCAGCUCUCUUCGGCUAUGCCAGGGAAACUGAACAAUCCUAGUGCAGUGGCGUGCAGUACUAGUGCUAGUGAGCAAGGCUCAACCCAAGCCCUUCUCCCAGAGUGUCUCUAAAGCACUCCUUCUGCAAGCACACAGCAAAAUUGAACUAGUUUACAUUACAAACUACACCCGACUCCAUGUUUCAUUUAUGACAUUUUGUUUCUCAUGCAAGACAUUUCAUUCAUCAAAAACACCAUUAUUUUUACAUAAUUAUGCUUGAGGUGCCA